GGCGUUAAGUUGCAGGGUAUAGACCCGAAACCCGGUGAUCUAGCCAUGGGCAGGUUGAAGGUUGGGUAACACUAACUGGAGGACCGAACCGACUAAUGUUGAAAAAUUAGCGGAUGACUUGUGGCUGGGGGUGAAAGGCCAAUCAAACCGGGAGAUAGCUGGUUCUCCCCGAAAGCUAUUUAGGUAGCGCCUCGUGAAUUCAUCUCCGGGGGUAGAGCACUGUUUCGGCAAGGGGGUCAUCCCGACUUACCAACCCGAUGCAAACUGCGAAUACCGGAGAAUGUUAUCACGGGAGACACACGGCGGGUGCUAACGUCCGUCGUGAAGAGGGAAACAACCCAGACCGCCAGCUAAGGUCCCAAAGUCAUGGUUAAGUGGGAAACGAUGUGGGAAGGCCCAGACAGCCAGGAUGUUGGCUUAGAAGCAGCCAUCAUUUAAAGAAAGCGUAAUAGCUCACUGGUCGAGUCGGCCUGCGCGGAAGAUGUAACGGGGCUAAACCAUGCACCGAAGCUGCGGCAGCGACACUGUGUGUUGUUGGGUAGGGGAGCGUUCUGUAAGCCUGUGAAGGUGUGCUGUGAGGCAUGCUGGAGGUAUCAGAAGUGCGAAUGCUGACAUAAGUAACGAUAAAGCGGGUGAAAAGCCCGCUCGCCGGAAGACCAAGGGUUCCUGUCCAACGUUAAUCGGGGCAGGGUGAGUCGACCCCUAAGGCGAGGCCGAAAGGCGUAGUCGAUGGGAAACAGGUUAAUAUUCCUGUACUUGGUGUUACUGCGAAGGGGGGACGGAGAAGGCUAUGUUGGCCGGGCGACGGUUGUCCCGGUUUAAGCGUGUAGGCUGGUUUUCCAGGCAAAUCCGGAAAAUCAAGGCUGAGGCGUGAUGACGAGGCACUACGGUGCUGAAGCAACAAAUGCCCUGCUUCCAGGAAAAGCCUCUAAGCAUCAGGUAACAUCAAAUCGUACCCCAAACCGACACAGGUGGUCAGGUAGAGAAUACCAAGGCGCUUGAGAGAACUCGGGUGAAGGAACUAGGCAAAAUGGUGCCGUAACUUCGGGAGAAGGCACGCUGAUAUGUAGGUGAAGUCCCUCGCGGAUGGAGCUGAAAUCAGUCGAAGAUACCAGCUGGCUGCAACUGUUUAUUAAAAACACAGCACUGUGCAAACACGAAAGUGGACGUAUACGGUGUGACGCCUGCCCGGUGCCGGAAGGUUAAUUGAUGGGGUCAGCGCAAGCGAAGCUCUUGAUCGAAGCCCCGGUAAACGGCGGCCGUAACUAUAACGGUCCUAAGGUAGCGAAAUUCCUUGUCGGGUAAGUUCCGACCUGCACGAAUGGCGUAAUGAUGGCCAGGCUGUCUCCACCCGAGACUCAGUGAAAUUGAACUCGCUGUGAAGAUGCAGUGUACCCGCGGCAAGACGGAAAGACCCCGUGAACCUUUACUAUAGCUUGACACUGAACAUUGAGCCUUGAUGUGUAGGAUAGGUGGGAGGCUUUGAAGUGUGGACGCCAGUCUGCAUGGAGCCGACCUUGAAAUACCACCCUUUAAUGUUUGAUGUUCUAACGUGGACCCGUGAUCCGGGUUGCGGACAGUGUCUGGUGGGUAGUUUGACUGGGGCGGUCUCCUCCUAAAGAGUAACGGAG
rnacentral:rRNA from 1 species